rnacentral:tRNA from 1 species
GGGGUUGUGGCUUAGCGGUAGAGCACUCACCUACUGUGUGUGAGGCCCUGGGUUUGAUCCUCAGUACCACA